GAUGAACGCUGGCGGCGUGCCUAAUACAUGCAAGUCGAGCGAACAGACGAGGAGCUUGCUCCUCUGACGUUAGCGGCGGACGGGUGAGUAACACGUGGAUAACCUACCUAUAAGACUGGGAUAACUUCGGGAAACCGGAGCUAAUACCGGAUAAUAUAUUGAACCGCAUGGUUCAAUAGUGAAAGACGGUUUUGCUGUCACUUAUAGAUGGAUCCGCGCCGCAUUAGCUAGUUGGUAAGGUAACGGCUUACCAAGGCAACGAUGCGUAGCCGACCUGAGAGAGUGAUCGGCCACACUGGAACUGAGACACGCUCCAGACUCCUACGGGAGGCAGCAGUAGGGAAUCUUCCGCAAUGGGCGAAAGCCUGACGGAGCAACGCCGCGUGAGUGAUGAAGGUCUUCGGAUCGUAAAACUCUGUUAUUAGGGAAGAACAAAUGUGUAAGUAACUAUGCACGUCUUGACGGUACCUAAUCAGAAAGCCACGGCUAACUACGUG
rnacentral:rRNA from 1 species